GCCGGUUUGGCUCAGUGGAUAGAGCAUUGGGCUUCAGACUUAAGGGUUCCGGGUUUGAUUCCGGUCAAGGGCA
rfam:Myotis lucifugus cont2.59239, whole genome shotgun sequence.